UACGGGGGGAGCAAGCGUUGUUCGGAUUUACUGGGCGUAAAGGGCGCGUAGGCGGCCACGACAAGUCACUUGUGAAAUCCCCGGGCUCAACCUGGGAACUGCAUCUGUGACUGCAUCGCUGGAGUGCGGCAGAGGGGGAUGGAAUUCCGCGUGUAGCAGUGAAAUGCGUAGAUAUGCGGAGGAACACCGAUGGCGAAGGCAAUCCCCUGGGCCUGCACUGACGCUCAUGCACGAAAGCGUGGGGAGCAAACAGG
rnacentral:rRNA from 1 species